UUGCUACUUGGAUACCUGUGGUAAUUCUAGAGCUAAUACAUGCUAAAAACCCCGACUUCGGGAGGGGUGUAUUUAUUAGAUAAAAAACCAAUGCCCUCCGGGGCUCCUUGGUGAUUCAUAAUAACUCAACGAAUCGCAUGGCCUUGCGCCGGCGAUGGUUCAUUCAAAUUUCUGCCCUAUCAACUUUCGAUGGUAGGAUAGUGGCCUACCAUGGUUUCAACGGGUAACGGGAAAUAAGGGUUUGAUUCCGGAGAGGGAGCCUGAGAAACGGCUACCACAUCCAAGGAAGGCAGCAGGCGCGCAAAUUACCCAAUCCCGACACGGGGAGGUAGUAAGUUCAUCCUUGUUUCGUUUUGAGCUGAAAAUAUUACAGUGCUAACUAUUUUCUUUUUAGGCGACAAGGAAUACUGAUGCAGAGCUCUUUUGGGUUUUGCAAUUGGAAUGAGUACAAUUUAAACCCCUUAACGAGGAACAAUUGGAGGGCAAGUCUGGUGCCAGCAGCCGCGGUAAUUCCAGCUCCAAUAGCGUAUAUUAAAGUUGUUGCAGUUAAAAAGCUCGUAGUUGAAACUUGGGUCUGGCUGGCCGGUCCGCCUCACCGCGUGCACUGGUCCGGCCGGGCCUUUCCUUCUGGGGAGCCGCAUGCCCUUUAUUGGGUGUGCCGGGGAACCAGGACUUUUACUUUGAAAAAAUUAGAGUGUUCAAAGCAGGCCUAUGCUCGAAUACAUUAGCAUGGAAUAAUAGAAUAGGACGUGUGGUUCUAUUUUGUUGGUUUCUAGGACCGCCGUAAUGAUUAAUAGGGAUAGUUGGGGGCGUCCGGUAAGCUUUAAUCUUUUCCAUUUUUGCCGGCGGGAGAAUUUGCUAACUGUUGCGCAGUAUUUAAUUGUCAGAGGUGAAAUUCUUGGAUUUAUUAAAGACGAACUACUGCGAAAGCAUUCGCCAAGGAUGUUUUCAUUAAUCAGUGAACGAAAGUUAGGGGAUCGAAGACGAUCAGGCCAGGGUAUCCGGUCGUCCACAGUCAAUUCUAGUCGGGGCGUCCUUUCGGGGGCCCCUUGGCGACACCAUUCAACUGUGAUGGAGCCCCGGGCGGUGUCACCCCCGGCAAUCCACAGCCAAGCUCCCCGGGCGUUCGGGGGGUGCAGUUUACAGACUGAAUAACGGUGGGCCCCCUUCCGGCCGCGGAAGGGGGUUUCAGAUAUAGUCGGUUCGGGCGCGUGAGCCCCCGGAAGUAACGCAGAUACCGUCGUAGUCUUAACCAUAAACUAUGCCGACUAGGGAUCGGACGGUGUUAUUAUUUUGACCCGUUCGGCACCUUACGAGAAAUCAAAGUUUUUGGGUUCUGGGGGGAGUAUGGUCGCAAGGCUGAAACUUAAAGACAUUGACGGAAGGGCACCACCAGGAAACGACACAGUGGCUCUGUUCGCCUGGUUACAGGCCGCCGCUCCUCGGGAGGAGCGGCGGCGUUAGUUCUCUCCGGAGGGCGAGGUCCCUGAUCUGCGAGGACUGCCUCGGGCGCUGUAGCGACCCCGGGCGUACCCGCAGCCGCCGUGGCCCCCCGCGUUAUGGGGGAGUCUAGGUGGCUCACAGGUCAAGCAGAGGCCGGCAGGCGUCGAUUCCUGCUGAUGAUAUGAUCGGCCCAGGGGCGGUAAGCCCCUAGGAUGCAGUGCGUGGAGCCUGCGGCUUAAUUUGACUCAACACGGGGAAACUCACCGGGUUAACUAGAAGGUUAUUGUCUGGGCCCGGAGGCCCGAUAUGGCGGAACUGGUCUUCCGGUCCGCUAUUGUCGGAACAGUAGUACUGCGAAACUCGCGGUGCAACACACGCUGGUACAGGGGACGCCUUGCCCGUCAAGCACCUUUUGACAGGCAAUGUCAACCCUGUGGUGAGCCUAUUCCAAGGGCCAUCGCAACGCGCGCCAAGCUGUGGGUAACCCUCGUCGGUUAUUUCUUAUACGUGCUAAUCCCGUGGACGAUUCACCACGCUCGCCUAGCUUUUCGCUGGGGCCGAGAUCUGUGCUCAAUACACGGGCACUGAUGGAAAUGGUUCUUUGCCGGACAAAAUAAGGAUUGACAGAUUGAGAGCUCUUUCUUGAUCUUUUGGUUGGUGGUGCAUGGCCGUUUUUAGUUGGUGGAGUGAUUUGUCUGCUUAAUUGCGAUAACGAACGAGACCUUAACCUGCUAAAUAGCCCGGUCAGCUUUGGCUGGCCGCCGGCUUCUUAGAGGGACUAUCGGCUCAAGCCGAUGGAAGUUUGAGGCAAAAACAGGUCUGUGAUGCCCUUAGAUGUUCCGGGCCGCACGGUAUGUAGGACCCUUUUUCUCCAAGAUUCCAAGGGUAUAUAGCUAACUUCUUUUUAGCGCGCUACACUGACAGAGACAACGAGUUCAUCACCUUGGCCGAAAGGUUUGGGUAAUCUUGUUAAACUCUGUCGUGCUGGGGAUAGAGCACUGCAAUUAUUGCUCUUCAACGAGGAAUGCCUAGUAAGCGCAAGUCAUCAGCUUGCGUUGAUUACGUCCCUGCCCUUUGUACACACCGCCCGUCGCUACUACCGAUUGAAUGGCUCAGUGAGGCCUUCGGACUGGCCCCAGGAGGUCGGCGACGACCACCCAGGGCCGGAAAGUGUCAAA
rnacentral:rRNA from 1 species